GAGAAGCACUGCUUCAUGGCUUCUUGCCCAAGGAUUUUAGAUGGACACAGUGGGUAAUAAAUGGAUGAAUUUUUGUUUGGGUUGAAGAAUCUCUCUGAGAAGUUGACACGUGGGGGCAAUGGUUUGUUUCUCUUGUAUUUCUGAAGUUGCAAAUAAUCAUGUAAGCAGUUCAACCAGGAGUUUACACCAAACUUUUAAUAGGCGAUAUAUCAUUAUUUUUUUUCCCAUUGGUUUGGAUAACAUCCACUUUAACUGGCAGUUAGUCAUACUUAGCUAUUUUUGUUAAAGCAGGUGAUUUAUUGUUAUUUUAUAUUUAUGACAUGAUUAAUAAGUGAAUAUGGAAGAUUUUACAUUGACUUAGGGGAUCAAAGUUUUCAUUAUAUUAACACCUUUAAUUGCCAUGAGUUUUCUAUUUCUAGCAUGCAUAUUUUGUGUUCAUUCAAGUGAAGAAAACAGUCUUUUGUGUUCUCAGGUACUGCAUAAGCCGACCACAGUAUAAGACUUCUUGUGGCAUCUCUUCAUUAAUUUCUUGUUGGAAUUUCUUAUACAGCACAAUGGGAGCUGGAAACCUUCCACCUAUUACCCAAGAAGAAGCUUUACAUAUUCUGGGCUUUCAACCUCCAUUUGAAGAUAUUAGGUUUGGUCCUUUCACGGGGAAUACAACACUUAUGAGGUAUGAAGACCCUCUUAGAGGCAAUAUCGUGUUUCUAGUUUUGCAAAAUAAUAAUGAUGUAGAUGUGUGUUGAUAGUAAACCAUGUAUCCAGCUGCUGGGCUUCAACCUCUCAUAGGUAUACCAACUUUGGGCUAUGCCUGAAUUUCUUUAGAAUUGGAAUAAUGCCAUCUUUGUUGUAGAAUUGUUGCCAUGAACAAAUCUUCUUGUUACUUUCAGGUGGUUUAGACAAAUUAAUGACCACUUCCAUGUAAAAGGAUGCUCUUAUGUUCUAUAUAAGCCUCAUGGGAAGAAUAAAACAGCAGGAGAAACUGGUAGGUAAACAUAUAGAAGAUUUACAUACACACAUACACACAUGCACACACACACAUACACACACACGGUUUAGAGUUCGUCUCAAAGACUGCCUGUUUAGCUUCCUGGGACAUUAUGUAAACCCUCAGCACAGUCUGUUACUUGCAUGUAAUCUGUAGGGCACUUUUUAAUAAGCAGUUUAAUAUUUUACCUCUUCUAACCUUUUUAUGUAGAACCUUUAGAACUUUAAGGUAUAUCACAAACACUACUCUAACACAUUGUAUUGUUUGGGUCCGUGGUGUGUGUGUGUGUUUGUGUGUGUAUGUAUGUGCGUGUGUACGCGCACAUGCUAGUAAAACUCUAAGGAAGCAGCAUGGAGUUAGCAGUUUUCUUCCUAAGAAGGAAUGUAAGGAUUUGAGAAUAUUUGAUGUUAGACCUGUGUGGUGACAUAUAAUGGCAGGAAAAUAGACUGUUGAAGUGACAAAGUUCUGCUAUAAAAUAGUCUUGUUUAUAACAGAAAUAUUAAUGGAGUUGAUCUCAAGGAUUAUUUUAGUUAUGUGCUAAUUAAAUAAUUUGUACUAUUUAGCAAUUUCCAUUUUUAAAAUUGUUACAAUCUUUUGACUGUGUAAAUCAGAAAAUUGUAAUACAUUGUUAAAG
rnacentral:lncRNA from 10 species